GGACGGGACGCGGGGUGCCGGUCCGACCGGCUGAGAGACACCCGUCGAACCUGAUCUAGCUCGGACUAGCGGAGGGACGUCGAUGACGACGCCA
rnacentral:ncRNA from 2 species